AGAGUUUGAUCCUGGCUUAGGAUGAACGCUAGCGGCAGGCCUAAUACAUGCAAGUCGAACGGUAAAUGCCCCUUCGGGGGUAUGAGAGUGGCGCACGGGUGCGUAACGCGUAUGCAACCCACCCGCUGUCGGGGGAUAGCCCGGAGAAAUUCGAAUUAAUACCCCAUGAGGAGUGCUUGAGGCAUCUCAGGCAUUUCAAAACUAAGGUGACGGCGGACGGGCAUGCGUGCCAUUAGAUAGUUGGCGGGGUAACGGCCCACCAAGUCGACGAUGGCUAGGGGAUCUGAGAGGACGGUCCCCCACACUGGUACUGAGACACGGACCAGACUCCUACGGGAGGCAGCAGUAAGGGAUAUUGGUCAAUGGGGGGAACCCUGAACCAGCCAAUGCCGCGUGAGGGAAUAAGGCCCUACGGGUCGUAAACCUCUUUUGCCGGGGGAUAAGGACAGUUACGUGUAGCUGUUUGAAGGUACCCGGAGAAUAAGCAUCGGCUAACUCCGUGCCAGCAGCGGC
rnacentral:rRNA from 1 species